AACGAACGCUGGCGGCAUGCCUAACACAUGCAAGUCGAACGAGACCUUCGGGUCUAGUGGCGCACGGGUGCGUAACGCGUGGGAACCUGCCCUUAGGUUCGGAAUAACUCCCCGAAAGGGGUGCUAAUACCGGAUAAUGUCUUCGGACCAAAGAUUUAUCGCCUUUGGAUGGGCCCGCGUUGGAUUAGCUAGUUGGUAGGGUAAAAGCCUACCAAGGCGACGAUCCAUAGCUGGUCUGAGAGGAUGUUCAGCCACACUGGGACUGAGACACGGCCCAGACUCCUACGGGAGGCAGCAGUGGGGAAUAUUGGACAAUGGGCGAAAGCCUGAUCCAGCAAUGACGCGUGAGUGAUGAAGGCCUUAGGGUUGUAAAGCUCUUUUACCCGGGAUGAUAAUGACAGUACCGGGAGAAUAAGCUCCGGCUAACUCCGUG
rnacentral:rRNA from 1 species